AGCUCCGCCCCCUUUCCCCCUCAGCUGCCGCUUCCCUCAGAGCGGCAAGCGGAGGGCGAGGAAGGCGGACGUGCUUGUUUUUGUCUCGCGCCUUUUCUCUUUUUUUACCUCAGAGCGGCGUCGAGUUGUGUCUUCCUUCGCCUUCCUCCUCUUCCUCCUCGCUGUUUCUUCCAACAUGGCGGCGGUUUCGGGGGCAGCCGGGGGCAGCGGGGCCAACCCCGCCGGGGGCCCCGAGAUGGUCCGCGGGCAGGCCUUCGACGUGGGACCCCGCUACACCAACCUCUCCUACAUCGGCGAAGGGGCCUACGGCAUGGUCUGUUCUGCCUAUGACAAUGUCAACAAAGUUCGGGUGGCAAUAAAGAAGAUCAGCCCUUUUGAACACCAGACUUACUGCCAGAGGACUCUGCGAGAAAUCAAAAUCCUCUUGCGUUUCAAGCAUGAAAAUAUUAUUGGCAUCAAUGACAUUAUCAGAGCUCCGACAACUGAUCAAAUGAAAGAUGUAUACAUUGUGCAAGAUCUCAUGGAGACAGACCUUUACAAGCUCUUAAAGACCCAGCAUCUCAGCAAUGAUCACAUCUGUUAUUUCCUUUAUCAAAUCCUGAGAGGAUUGAAAUAUAUCCAUUCAGCCAAUGUGCUGCACCGUGACCUCAAGCCUUCCAACUUGCUGCUGAACACAACUUGCGAUCUUAAGGUCUGUGACUUUGGGUUGGCUCGCGUUGCAGAUCCCGAUCAUGACCACACUGGCUUCCUCACCGAGUAUGUGGCCACGCGUUGGUAUCGAGCUCCUGAGAUUAUGUUGAAUUCAAAGGGCUAUACCAAAUCUAUUGACAUUUGGUCAGUAGGCUGUAUUUUGGCGGAAAUGUUAUCCAACAGACCCAUCUUUCCAGGGAAACACUAUCUCGAUCAGCUGAACCACAUUCUGGGAAUACUUGGGUCUCCUUCUCAAGAAGACCUAAACUGUAUAAUCAAUUUGAAAGCUAGAAACUAUUUGCUUUCUCUACCGUACAAAAACAAAGUGCCGUGGAACAGGCUGUUUCCAAAUGCUGACGCCAAAGCUCUUGAUUUGUUGGAUAAGAUGUUAACCUUCAACCCUCAUAAAAGAAUUGAAGUUGAAGAAGCUUUGGCCCAUCCAUAUCUAGAGCAGUAUUACGAUCCAAGUGAUGAGCCUGUAGCAGAAGCACCUUUCAAAUUUGACAUGGAACUAGACGACCUGCCGAAGGAAAAGCUUAAAGAACUUAUUUUUGAGGAAACUGCCAGAUUCCAGCCGGGAUACAGAUGCUAAAUUGCUCGUGGGUACAUUCAAUCUUGCUAUCUCUAUUGAACAGGGAUGGAAAGAGAAUAACAGGAUAAAAGGAGAUAAAGUGCUGGGGGUGCUCCGUAUAGCAGUCCUCUUCCUGGUCCUUUAUCUAUGGCGGGACACUGUGGCCUGUUUCAGCUUCUCCACUAACUACGUCAAGCCAUUCAGAAGGGCCCAUUUCUGGCACUCCCGGCUUCUUCGCUUUCAACGGAGUCUUUAUUUAUGCUUGAAACUACUGCUGAUAUUCCUGGGUGUCAUCUCCAUUACUGACCUUUCUGCAGAUCUGUCUUUCCAUAUAUGCAUCUGCUGCUGACACUGUUUGAACUGCUUCUUUUUCUGCGUUGAAAGGUGUAGUAAUUUUGUUUCCGAUGUUUACCGAGAUGGUGGCUGACCAAGGUGCUUACGCCGGGAGCCAUUUAUUUCCUCGAUUUUGUUUUAUUAUUAUUGGUUUUUUUCUAAAAAAAAAGGAAAAGCUACAGUUUAGGGCACUUUACGUCAGUGGCAUGCUCUCCCCUCUUUUGCACUUCUUGGCGCAUGCCCAGUGCAAGCCGAGAGAUGGACAGCAUAAGCCUUGCUUAUGUACUUCCUUUAUGCUUAUGAACAAGUGGGAAAUAUUUCUUAGGGCCUCUAGAAAUCCUUUGCUAAUAAAAUCAUGAGAAACAAAAGAGGUACUUGUGCAAUUUUAAAUCUUAAGGGUACUCCAAAUCCGACCAUUAUAUUGGCAAAAUACAGGGCGCAGUCCGAAGCAUCUAGGGCUCAAUUCCACUCAAUUCUGUAGAUUUACUUUAUCUGAAUCUGAUGGAAUGGCAACAUAGUAAUUUAGGACAGAAUCUCCAAUUUGAUAAUUUUACAUUUUGUAAAAACACCUCUGUAUGGUGUGCAUUCAUUCACAGAAGUAACACGUGGAUUUUGUAAACUAUUGUUUCUUUUGGCUGGAUAUCAGUGAAAUGCCUGUAGUAUCUUCAUAACCUUUGCAUUUUAUAUGCCGAGGGCUCUGACAAAGGAAAAUCGGGACUGAUCUUUGUUCCCAUCGCAUGCUAGCCUCUCAAGGUGGUUUCUUGUGUGCUUUCAGUUCGUCUAAGUCUGGCACAGAACCAUUGGGGCGAAUCAAUAGGGCUGACAGUGCCACCAAGUAAAGCUGUCACUAAAUCACACAUCAUUUGAAUCUUUGGGGGAAAAAACAACAACCCUGUAUCUCUUCAAGUAUUUGUUUCUGAUAUUGUAUACAGUGGCGUUGACUAGCUGUUUUGUUCCAGUGCAGUGCCUCCUUGACUUUCCCCACUGCUCCAUGGCGAAAAGUUUGCCUUGCUAAAGACUGUGCCCUCGCAUGACUGUUAACAGCUUUCUGUGCAAAGAUGAUUGUCUAAGUGCCACAUGCCUACCGUUGACGAACGUUGCCUCUGAACUGUGUUCGAGGAAAGCCUCUCCGACAAGUCAGGUAAAUAGCUUUUGUCUGUAACUCGACAUAUCUCCGCUGUGUUGCAGCGAAGGAGAGAUUGUACAAAGAUGGCUUACUAACAAAAAAGACUCGAUCCAAAUUUUAGUCUUUUAUCUUUAAUAGUCACCAUUCAAAUAAUUUUGUUUGUUGUAUGAAACAUUAGUUGGGAUUCAGGCUGCUGAUGGUUGGCUCUAAAUUUUAUUUCCGACGUAAUUUAGAAUGUAAUUAGCCUAGGCUUUACCCACACAUCAGCCUAUUCCCAAAUAAUAAUUAUAUAGAAUUGUAACCCCAGGCUCCAACCACCACAGUUGACUUAGACCUGCUUUUAGUGUCCCUAAGCGAAUUUUAUCACUGAGACGUAUUCUCCAACAGAUACAUCUAGAUUUCUUAAUUUAAUGAUUAGGAUUAGGCUGCCACAUACAGAUGCUUACCGGUUACAAAAGUCUACCUUUUCCUUGAUCAAAUCUUGAAGUAUAUUGAGGCAUUGCCUGGGUGUCAGAAGGGCCGGUGCCACCUGCUUUCUCCCUUCUCCAGCUCUGAGAAGGCUUGUCUCACAACGGUAGGCAAGCUCUCUUUGUGGCUCUUUCUUUCUUUCCUCCAUUUCUCUCAUACACCUUUUCCCUCUGUUCUUCCUUUCUUCCCUUGCUUUCCGUCAUACAUCUUUGGGUCAUUCCAUGCCAAGUGGUCUAAACCUUCCCACCAUUGUGUCUUCAAUUUUGUUCAAAUUUUAGCUCUAGCGCCAGUCAGGUGUUGAACUAAGUUUCCCAAAAUUUGAGGUCUAACUGCAAUAGUUUCUGAUCUAGAUGCCCGUAACUGAAGGGUAGUCAGUCAUUGUGUGCACAACAUUUAACUCAGGUCAAAGUAUGUUAUAUAUCACAUUGAAAGCAGCAUUCCCAUUGGCAUGGCGGCCAUGCUCUAUAGCCAUGCAGUAACUAGCAGGACCGUGAGGAUGCAUAAAUGCACAAAAUAUACUUUGACUUGAGUAAAUUGAUACUUAAUGGUCGCAUUGCAAAACAAAAACAUGUCAGUCUUGUAGAGCAAAAUUUUCUCCUUCAGAUGAUACUAGUCACAAGCAUAUUCAGGUAGACGCUUUUUAAUAAUUGGCUUUGAACUUUGACAGAUUUUACCAUUUGCCCCGAAAGUUCCAAAUUUGAAAAGAUCCUGUAGGGUGGUUAUAGAUGCCGAGUAGUUGCAAAUCUGGCAGUAUUAGGUGCAGCACAAUACUUAGUCAAAAUUUCAAUUCUGUAUUUUCGUUUGCAUGGAAAUUGUUGCAGUAUGAAUAUUGGUCCACAUUUGUCGCAACACAAUUCUAUACACACUUGUUUGACUGGAUUUUGCAUUCAUAAUGUUAAAAUUAAUUCCAUCGGAAUCAGCAGAAAAAACUGAUUUCAAUUUGCUAGCCAUUCUUAUACAUUUAGCUUCAAUCUAACUAGACCCAAAAAAUGGCAUUUUAAAUGUUGUGCGUACAUUGACUACCGUUCAGAUACGGGCGUCUAGAUCAACAAUAUUGCACUUAGAGACCUCACAUUUUGGGAAACUUAAGUUUUACACUUGACUGGUGCUACAGCUAAAAUUCGAACACAGUUGGCGAACAUGAUGAAAACGUUGGAAAACUUAAAAAUUUUAGACCACUUGCCGUGGAAUGACCCCUUUCCCAUGACAGAGGGCCACUUCACCUUGCCACAUCCAAUCUGUUUCCUUCCUUUUCUUUCCCUCUCUGCUCUGGGCCCAAAAAGGGUGGUCCCUUUAAUUCAAACCCAUCCAUUAUUUCAAUUUAGGUAAUGAAGGGUCUGCGUGCCAAGUUUCGCCCAGAUCUGUGAAGCCACACAGGAGCCUUUAAACAAAACAACCAUACAUGCAUACAUCCGUUGACUUUUAUAUAGCGAGAGUAGCCUUCUAAACCUGAACAUAUUUGCCUUCCCAGGAUGUUUUCUACGGACUUGGUUGGUCCGUUAUAAUGUUAAAUGACUUGUUAGGGAGAUUGGAGUGGACAAUGACUGUGCAGACAACUCUUGGCAGAGGUCAAGAACUCUGAUUCAUCCUUGGACUGUCCUUGCGUCGAAAAUGCUUUUGGUCACAGCAUCUUCCUACGCAGCUCAGUAUCUAGGCAACAUCCCUUUCCAAAAACGCCACGUUGGGUUUGGAUUUAAUGUUGCCCGCGGCUUUACGUGAUCGUUGCAGCCUCGACCUGAUUAGCCUCAUUAACGGCGGCAACAUAAUAGAGCAGGUUUUAUUGAGGCUGUUAUUUAUUGUUUUGUUUAGUCUCCUCGCAUUCGUGUCCUGGAGAGUUCUCUGAGGCGUGAUGUCUGUGCAAACAGGUGGCGGUUCGCAUUGCUUUAUGAAAUCACUGAAUGUUUAAUGUUUAAUAAAAUGUUUAAUUCACGUAAGGGCUUCCUUUUCCUUAGCACUUCUGUUUACCUUUCUGCAACUAAUCUAGAUACGAUUCUUAAAAAAAAUAUUGUGAAGUAAUGGCUGUCAGUGUUAGAAUCCUAGAGUUGGGCCAUCCAGUCCAACCCCAUCCUGCCAUACACAACACGCAAUCAAAGCACUCCUAACUGAUGGCCAUCCAGCCUCUGCUUCAAAAUCUCCAGACACUGAGACCACCAAUGCGGCAUGCAAUUAUAUUGGAUCUUAAUCUUAGGAUGUCAUAUGUUGGGACUGUGAGUUGAAUGGAUCAUGUGCACGGUUACUAAUCACUAUUCUUGGGAUGACGUCCCUUUUAGCUUUUGAGACAAUGCCUGUCGUAUUAUUCAUUCAGGUCAACUUGAUGCACCUCUUCCAUUGAAUUCCCGUAAUCUGUAAGCAUUAAAAUAUGACAAAACAUUUCAACCUUAAACAAAGAAGAUCCUCCAAUUUAUAGCAGUGCAAGGAACUUUUUUUCCUGGUUGUGUUGGAUUGAGUUUUGCUUUUUUUGCCCUCUCACAUAGGAAGGCUUGCAAUGCAUGUUUCUAGGAAAUCAUUAUAUUUAAAUACCCAGGAAAGAUUUGAGAGCUCCAAGGGGAUUUUGGCAAGUGGAUCCAUUAGCGAAUAUUUAAAUGCUCACAUAUAUUCCUGGUGAUACCUGUCAUUGAGACUUCUGCUACUUUCUCCCUUCAGUCUCCAUGGCAAUGUUCCUUCCCUCCUUUUUCUUUCUCCCCCCCCCUUCAUUUUCCCUUCCUUUCCCCCUUCCUUCCUUCCUCCCUCUUUCUUUCUUUCUCUUUCUUUCUUUCUUUCUUUCUUUCUUUCUUUCUUUCUUUCUUUCUUUCUUUCUUUCUUUCUUUCUUUCUUUCUCUUCCCUCAUACACAUCACCUAGCAGCAGCCAAACCGCCCUGAGUCCCUUCGGGGAGAGAGGACAAUAUAUAAAUAAAGUUUUACUUACUUACUUCACUUCCCUUCUUCCCCAGGGACACUUCACCUUACCACAGCCAAUUCUUUCCCUAGUCAAUGCCAAUCUGUUUUGUUCCUUUCCUUUCCCUCUGCUUUGGGCCUUAAAGGAGUGUUUCUUUUAGUUCCGACCCCUCAAUUACAAUAAAUUGGAUCAAGUUUGGUCCAGAUCCAUGGAUCAGCCUUCAUGGGACAAACAUCCAAACAACAAACAAACAAUAAUUUACCGCCCUAUCUCCCCGAAGGGACUCAGGUCAGUUCUAACACGUAUGGCAAACAUAAAUUACAUCGGGACAGACCACAUCCAGCAAUAUAAAAAUAAACUAACUUUAACAAACAAACAUACAUACAUACUUUGGCUUUUAUAUAUAUAGAUGAAGCUUGCUUUAUGGAGAAUGAAAUCUUUGGUUUAUCUGCCCUAGUGUUCUCACAUAGGAGUUACAAUGAUUUUCCAGCAUUUACAGUAUUUAUAUUCCUCCCUUCUCACUCUGAAGGGGACUCAGGGCAGAUCACAGAACACAUAUACGGCAAACAUUGAAUGUCAUUAUACAGAGACAGGACAGGCAACAAUACAGAUAGAUGUAUAUAAGCAUUUCCCAUAUUUGGUGUCCUGGAGGUUGUGCUCGAUUCUGACCAUGGGGGUGCUGUCACUCCAUCCUCGGCCUAUUAACAAACUUCCUUUUAUUAUCGCCGGCAUUUUUCUGGUAUUUCCUUAUGGUGCUGUUAAAAUCCCCCCCCCCUUCAGCAGUACCUAUUUAUCUACUCACAGCUAUUUUCGAUGUGUCAGGUGGGCAGUGAGCUGGCCUGAAGGUUGGGCACUCACCCCGACCCAGGCUUCGAACUGCCAACCUUUUGAUUGGUAAGAUUUAUUGCAGCUGGUGGUUAACCUGUUGUGCUAAAGCCCAGCCCUGUAUAAUAUACGAGGGCUAUCCAGAAAGUAGAUUACGUUUUAAAAAUGAACAAAGUAUAGGAGAAAACAUUUACCAUAUACAGUUGAAAGCCAGACCCAAAAACCACUUCUCAACAUAGUCCCCAUUGAAAUCUAGGCAGUUAUCAUAGCAAUAAGAGUUUGGCAAGUCCUUCCCCACCAAACUUUGCCGCUUGGCUUGCGUCCUCAACCUCGUCCUGGAUCGCUCUUCUGUUUUGCAAAUGCUUGCAAGGAAGGUUAUGGCGACCAUUUUUUGGGACAGGAAAGGUCUGCUUUUUGCAAAACCUUAGAAGAGCGAUCCAGGACGAGCAUGGGGGAAAGUUGAGCGCAUGCACAUACGCAGCUGUGGGAAGGAACGCCUGCCUGGUUGAGGACGCAAGCCAAGCGGCAAAGUUUGGUGGGGAAGGACUUUCCAAACUCUUUUAUCUCUAUGAUAACUGCCUAGAUUUCAAUGGGGACUUUGUUGAGAAGUGGUAUUUGGGUCUGACUUUCAAUUGCAUAUGGUAAAUGUUUUCUCCUAUACUUUGUUCAUUUUUAAUUCCAAAACGUAAUCUACUUUCUGGAUAGCCCUUGUAUAAGAAUAUGUAAGAAUUCUAAGGCACACUCCAUUUUGAGAGAUGCUUAUAUGGGGGAAAGUAUGCCUUAGAAUCGAAGCAAUAGGGCAUAUUUGUUUUUAAAGUAACGUGGCCUACCUACAUGCACCGUUUUAGCCCCUUGCAUCGUAUUUCUAUAUUUGAAAUCAUCCCAGGUUUUCCAGAAAAAUAUGUUUGUAACUGUCCGCAGUUUGGCGCCCAAGAAAAUCAUUGAAAUCAUUUCUGCUUUAACUGAAAAAAACACUAAAAGGCCCUGCUGCGAUUUGAGUUCUUCCAAGUGCCCAUUAGUAAUGUCCAUCUUUGCAACCGAUGUUACCGCCUCUGAUAUAAGAUCAGAGCUUGAAACUGGGAGAAAUACAACAACUGACGGGACUUUUGGAUCCCCCAAAACCAGCUCUGUAAGACAGCAGAAGGCUUACUUACUCUUGUUGCCUUUUCUUGUGGUGUUUCAGUGUAGAGCACUCCUAUGAAAAUACUGUUUUGCUUUGGUAUUUGCUUUGUACUGUCGGUGCCUUAGUCAUGUCCCCUUGACCGCCUCCCGCACAGCUGACUUUUGUUCAUGGUAAGAUUCAACCCUAAGACAAAAAAAAAUGUUUUCUAAAGGUUUUUUCCCCCUCUGUAUCAUUAACAUUAUUAACAACUAAAACGUUUAUAUUGUGCGAUUUUGGUUCUGACGAGAUGUAUAGAAUGAUUGUAAGUAGAGAAGAUUUAUAUUUCAUCUUUAAUUCUGUUGAUGUAAACGUACGGUUUUUUUUAAAAAAACAAACACUUAAAUGUCUUGUUAAUACAUACCAUGUUGAUUCUUGUAUAAAACCGAUGUGAAGAAAUCAUUAAAAAUUGUGAUCCUGGGUUACCAAAGCAA